rnacentral:rRNA from 1 species
CUACGGGAGGCAGCAGUGGGGAAUAUUGGACAAUGGGCGAAAGCCUGAUCCAGCCAUGCCGCGUGUGUGAAGAAGGUCUUCGGAUUGUAAAGCUCUUUAAGUUGGGAGGAAGGGCAGUAAGUUAAUGCCUUGCUGUUUUGACGUUACCAACAGAAUAAGCACCGGCUAACUUCGUGCCAGCAGCCGCGGUAAU